AUACGGAGGAUGCAAGCGUUAUCCGGAUUUAUUGGGUUUAAAGGGUGCGUAGGCGGAUGAUUAAGCGUGAGGUGAAAUGCCACUGCUCAACAGAGGAACUGCCUCGCGAACUGGUUGUCUUGAAUGCUCCUGCCGUGGGAGGAAUGUGUGGUGUAGCGGUGAAAUGCAUAGAGAUCACACAGAACACCGAUUGCGAAGGCAUCUCACGAAGGGGUGAUUGACGCUGAGGCACGAAAGCGUGGGGAUCAAACAGGAUUAGAUACCCUGGUAGUCCACGCAGUAAACGAUGAUAACUAACCGCUGGGUCGUAGUGAUUCAGUGGCCAAGCGAAAGCGAUAAGUUAUCCACCUGGGGAGUACGACCGCAAGGUUGAAACUCAAAGGAAUUGACGGGG
rnacentral:rRNA from 1 species